UGUAGGUGACACAGGUGACACAGGUGACACUCAGGUGACACAGGUGACACUCAGGUGACCCUGUCCGUGUCCCCAGGGCGGCAUGCUGGCCGUCAGGGAGAACAGGUACAGGGGCUGGCACAGGUGUGGCUGUAGCUCAGUGCAGGUGACACAGGGCUGGCUGUGGCUGGCUGUGGGUGUCCCAGGUGACACAGGUGACAUUCAGGUGACACUCAGGUGACACUCAGGUGACCCUGUCCGUGUCCCCAGGGCGGCAUGCUGGCCGUCAGGGAGAACAGGCACAGGGGCUGGCACAGGUGUGCCUGUAGCUCAGUGCAGGUGA